AUUGAACGCUGGCGGCAGGCCUAACACAUGCAAGUCGAGCGGUAGAGAGGUGCUUGCACCUCUUGAGAGCGGCGGACGGGUGAGUAAUGCCUAGGAAUCUGCCUGGUAGUGGGGAUAACGUUCGGAAACGGACGCUAAUACCGCAUACGUCCUCCGGGAGAAAGCAGGGGACCUUCGGGUCUUGCGCUGACAGAUGAGCCUAGGUCGGAUUAGAUAGUUGGUGAGGUAAUGGCUCACCAAGGCGACGAUCCGUAACUGGUCUGAGAGGAUGAUCAGUCACACUGGAACUGAGACACGGUCCAGACUCCUACGGGAGGCAGCAGUGGGGAAUAUUGGACAAUGGGCGAAAGCCUGAUCCAGCCAUGCCGCGUGUGUGAAGAAGGUCUUCGGAUUGUAAAGCACUUUAAGUUGGGAGGGAGGGUACUUACCUAAUACGUGAGUAUUUUGACGUUACCGACAGAAUAAGCACCGGCUAACUCUGUGCCAGCCGCCGCAGUAAUAC
rnacentral:rRNA from 1 species